CGCUGGCGGCGUGCUUAACACAUGGCAAGUCGAACGGUAAGGCCCUUCGGGGUACACGAGUGGCGAACGGGUGAGUAACACGUGGGUGAUCUGCCCUGCACUUCGGGAUAAGCCUGGGAAACUGGGUCUAAUACCGGAUAGGACCAUGGACUUCACGGUUUGUGGUGGAAAGCUUUUGCGGUGUGGGAUGGGGCCCGCGGCCUAUCAGCUUGUUGGUGGGGUAAUGGCCUACCAAGGCGACGACGGGUAGCCGGCCUGAGAGGGUGUCCGGCCACACUGGGACUGAGAUACGGCCCAGACUCCUACGGGAGGCAGCAGUGGGGAAUAUUGCACAAUGGGCGCAAGCCUGAUGCAGCGACGCCGCGUGAGGGAUGACGGCCUUCGGGUUGUAAACCUCUUUCAAUAGGGACGAAGCGCAAGUGACGGUACCUAUAGAAGAAGCACCGGCCAACUACGUG
rnacentral:rRNA from 1 species